rnacentral:rRNA from 1 species
CUGCCCUUGACAUCCUCGGAACGGCUCAGAAAUGAGUUGGUGCCUUCGGGAACCGAGUGACAGGUGCUGCAUGGCUGUCGUCAGCUCGUGUCGUGAGAUGUUGGGUUAAGUCCCGUAACGAGCGCAACCCCUAUCCCUGGUUGCUAGCAGGUAAUGCUGAGAACUCCAGGGAGACUGCCGGUGACAAACCGGAGGAAGGUGGGGAUGACGUCAGGUCAUCAUGGCCCUUACGGCCAGGGCUACACACGUGCUACAAUGGCGCGUACAGAGGGCUGCCAACUCGCGAGAGUGAGCCAAUCCCUUAAAACGCGUCGUAGUCCGGAUCGGAGUCUGCAACUCGACUCCGUGAAGUCGGAAUCGCUAGUAAUCGCGAAUCAGAAUGUCGCGGUGAAUACGUUCCC